UCUACCUUGUGCAAAAUCAGAAGAGGGUCAAGUAAAGAAGAAGCCGAGUUCCUUCAUCUACAAAACUUGUUUGAGGGCUUCUUUCUCUUUACUCUAUUUGUUUAUAUUGUUAUAUCUGCCUGUUUAAGAAGCUUGUAUUUGUUUUAAACUCUUGUUCUAAUAUCUUGUAACUUGAUUCAAUCAAGGGAUUGAAUCAAGGGGUUAAGGUUUGUUGGUGAGCCAAAGGAAAAACCAACGGUGUAAGGUUGUGGUUGGUGAACCGGGAAAAAACCAACUGGGUUUGAUUGUGAACCCGGAAAAACAAUCGGUUGGUUCUAGUCGGUGAGCCUGUGAAAACCGACCAAGUUCGUUGUGAUCUCGUGAAAACAACAAGUUAGGUUGUGAGCUUGUAAAACAACC
rnacentral:lncRNA from 1 species